AUUGAACGCUGGCGGCAGGCCUAACACAUGCAAGUCGAGCGGUUGAAGGGAGCUUGCUCGCUGAUUCAGCGGCGGACGGGUGGGAAAGGCCUAGGAAUCUGCCUAUUAGUGGGGGACAACGUUUCGAAAGGAACGCUAAUACCGCAUACGUCCUACGGGAGAAAGCAGGGGACCUUCGGGCCUUGCGCUAAUAGAUGAGCCUAGGUCGGAUUAGCUUGUUGGUGAGGUAAUGGCUCCACAAGGCGACGAUCCGUAACUGGUCUGAGAGGAUGAUCAGUCACACUGGAACUGAGACACGGUCCAGACACCUACGGGAGGCAGCAGUGGGGAAUAUUGGACAAUGGGCGAAAGCCUGAUCCAGCCAUGCCGCGUGUGUGAAGAAGGUCUUCGGAUUGUAAAGCACUUUAAGUUGGGAGGAAGGGUUGUAGAUUAAUACUCUGCAAUUUUGACGUUACCGACAGAAUAAGCACCGGCUAACUCUGUGCCAGCAGCCGCCGUAA
rnacentral:rRNA from 1 species